rnacentral:rRNA from 1 species
GGUGGUAAUGCCGGAUGUGCCGGGCUCCUGCAUGGGGGUCCGGGAAAGCUCUGGCGGCGUGGGAUGGGGUCGCGUCCUAUCAGCUUGUUGGCGGGGUGAGGGCCCACCAAGGCUUCGACGGGUAGCCGGCCUGAGAGGGCGACCGGCCACAUUGGGACUGAGAUACGGCCCAGACUCCUACGGGAGGCAGCAGUGGGGAAUAUUGCACAAUGGGCGCAAGCCUGAUGCAGCGACGCCGCGUGCGGGAUGGAGGCCUUCGGGUUGUAAACCGCUUUUGUU